rnacentral:rRNA from 1 species
CGGUGAGUAAAGCGCGCAAAAAGCAGAUAUUAGAUAAAAGAUAGUAGAUAAUAGUGAGGAACCUUAGGGGGCCUUUCCUAAUAUCUUUUAUCUAAUAUCUGCUGUUGUGGUGGCUUCGGGAGGGGCUUGCGGCCUAUCAGGUAGUUGGUGGGGUAACGGCCUACCAAGCCAUCGACGGGUAGCUGGUCUGAGAGGAUGGUCAGCCGGACUGGGACUGCGAUACGGCCCAG